rnacentral:rRNA from 1 species
UACGUAGGGUCCGAGCGUUGUCCCGGAAUUACUGGGCGUAAAGCGCGCGCAGGCGGCCCCGCGAGGUGUCACGUGAAAGCCCCGGGCCUCAACCCGGGAGGGUCGUGGCAAACCGGCGGCUUGAGGCCGGUAGAGGUGGGUGGAACUCCUGGUGGAGUGGUGAAAUGCGUAGAGAUCAGGAAGAACACCCGUGGCCGAAGGCGGGCCCAACCUGGCCCGGUACUG